AACGAACGCUGGCGGCAGGCCUAACACAUGCAGGUCGAACGCUCCGCAAGGGGAGUGGCAGACGGGUGAGUAACACGUGGGAACCUACCUCGAGGUGCGGAACAACCAAGGGAAACUUUGGCUAAUACCGCAUGUGCCCUUAGGGGGAAAGAUUUAUCGCCUUGGGAUGGGCCCGCGUCGGAUUAGCUAGUUGGUGUGGUAAUGGCGCACUAAGGCGACGAUCCGUAGCUGGUCUGAGAGGAUGAUCAGCCACACUGGGACUGAGACACGGCCCAGACUCCUACGGGAGGCAGCAGUGGGGAAUAUUGGACAAUGGGCGCAAGCCUGAUCCAGCCAUGCCGCGUGUGUGAUGAAGGCCUUAGGGUUGUAAAGCACUUUCGCCGAUGAAGAUAAUGACUGUAGUCGGAGAAGAAGCCCCGGCUAACUUCGUGCCAGCCGCCGCCGUAAAAC
rnacentral:rRNA from 1 species